UUGUAAAAGCUCUGAAGACUCAGAGGACGAGUGGGUGGAGGCCGGGCCUCCGUCAGGGGGCGGAGACAAGGCCUGGAAGGCGGAGCAUGUAUCCACGCCCACUGCUAGCUCAACCAGUACUAACCAAGUAAGAUCCUACUCUGUUACGUAUUAGAUCAGUAAUUUCUCCCAACAUUCCCAAAAU